rnacentral:rRNA from 1 species
UACGGGGGGGAGCAAGCGUUGUUCGGAUUUACUGGGCGUAAAGGGCGCGUAGGCGGCCACCGCAAGUCGACUGUGAAAUCUCCGGGACUUAACCCGGAAAGGUCAGCCGAUACUGCGGGGCUAGAGUGCAGAAGGGGCAACUGGAAUUCUCGGUGUAGCGGUGAAAUGCGUAGAUAUCGAGAGGAACACCUGCGGCGAAGGCGGGUUGCUGGGCUGACACUGACGCUGAUGCGCGAAAGCUAGGGGAGCGAACGGG